rnacentral:lncRNA from 1 species
AGCCAAGUCUGUUCCUGCUCCAAAGAAGGGUGCCAAGAAGGUGGUGUGACCAAGAGCCAGAAGGAUGGCAAGAAUCACAAGCAUAGCCACAAGGAAAGCUACUCUAUCUACAUUUACAAGGUAUUGAAGCAGGUCCAUCUCAACUCUGGCAUCUCAUCGAAGGCCAUGGGCAUCAUGAACUCAUUUGUCAAUAUCUUCAAGUGCAUCAUUCCUGAUGCAUUACAAGUACUCGACGAUCACCUCCAGGGAGAUCCAUACAGCUUGUGCCUGCUGCCUAGGGAGAUGGCCAAUCACACUGUGUCUCACAACACCAAGGCCCUCACCAAGUACACCAGCUCCAAGUGA